CAAGCUGCUAGCUUUCAGAGGCCUCGUCGUAUUAUGCAGCUGAAAGAAUAUAUGUGUGUGUGAAUCUAUGUGUGUAUAUAUACCUAUGUAUAUACAUACACACACAUACACACACACUA